rnacentral:rRNA from 1 species
UACGGAGGGGGGCUAGCGUUGUUCGGAAUUACUGGGCGUAAAGCGCGCGUAGGCGGCUUUUGUAAGUCAGAGGUGAAAGCCUGGAGCUCAACUCCAGAACUGCCUUUGAGACUGCAUCGCUAGAAUCAUGGAGAGGUAAGUGGAAUUCCGAGUGUAGAGGUGAAAUUCGUAGAUAUUCGGAAGAACACCAGUGGCGAAGGCGACUUACUGGACAUGUAUUGACGCUGAGGUGCGAAAGCGUGGGGAGCAAACAGG